rnacentral:rRNA from 1 species
GAGGGGGACCUUCGGGCCUCUCGCGUCACAGAUAUGCCUAGGUGGGAUUAGCUAGUUGGUGAGGUAAGGGCUCACCAAGGUCGACGAUCCCUAGCUGGUCUGAGAGGAUGAUCAGCCACACUGGAACUGAGACACGGUCCAGACUCCUACGGGAGGCAGCAGUGGGGAAUAUUGCACAAUGGGCGCAAGCCUGAUGCAGCCAUGCCGCGUGUGUGAAGAAGGCCUUCGGGUUGUAAAGCACUUUCAGUCGUGAGGAAGGUAGUGUAGUUAAUAGCUGCAUUAUUUGACGUUAGCGACAGAAGAAGCACCGGCUAACUCCGUGCCAGCAGCCGCGGUAAUACGGAGGGUGCGAGCGUUAAUCGGAAUUACUGGGCGUAAAGCGCAUGCAGGUGGUUUGUUAAGUCAGAUGUGAAAGCCCGGGGCUCAACCUCGGAAUUGCAUUUGAAACUGGCAGACUAGAGUACUGUAGAGGGGGGUAGAAUUUCAGGUGUAGCGGUGAAAUGCGUAGAGAUCUGAAGGAAUACCGGUGGCGAAGGCGGCCCCCUGGACAGAUACUGACACUCAGAUGCGAAAGCGUGGGGAGCAAACAGGAUUAGAUACCCUGGUAGUCCACGCCGUAAACGAUGUCUACUUGGAGGUUGUGGCCUUGAGCCGUGGCUUUCGGAGCUAACGCGUUAAGUAGACCGCCUGGGGAGUACGGUCGCAAGAUUAAAACUCAAAUGAAUUGACGGGGGCCCGCACAAGCGGUGGAGCAUGUGGUUUAAUUCGAUGCAACGCGAAGAACCUUACCUACUCUUGACAUCCAGAGAACUUUCCAUAGAUGGAUUGGUGCCUUCGGGAACUCUGAGACAGGUGCUGCAUGGCUGUCGUCAACUCGUGUUGUGAAAUGUUGGGUUAAUUCCCGCAACGAGCCCAACCCUUAUCCUUGUUUG